UAAGUUGGCAAACAUUCAUUUCAAUCUACCAAAUGAUGAUUGAAUUUGCAAACAGUCAACGAACGCAUCAAUCACUUACACACCACUCAUUCAAUUAGCAACAAUGCGAGAUGACAAGUCAAAAAAAACAAAAGUGACAUUUCAUACUCGUCGCUCAGUCGUUUAGUAACGAGUGCGAUGAGUAGCACGAAUGGCAAUGGAAAAACGUGUUUUAGUCAAUUAUUUUGAAUUUUUUUUUUUAAUAAUAAACCCAAUGAAUGUGCAUGUAAACGCAGAUUUGUGUUAUAACUUUGAACGCACUUUGGCAAAAAUAAUUAUCAAAUUGGGUCAACGCAAUGUGGAUGAGUAAUAAAUAUUAGCGCCGCCGCAAUUCACUUACGUCACAUACAUAUAUACGAGUACUCGUGUGGAUACGAAAUGACAAAUGACUUUUGUGCCUACAGAAGAAAAAAAUUUUGUCAUUCUUUGUGGCCGACAGUGACACAUUGGAAUUAUUAAUGAUUUAAAAGCAAAAAUAUAAUAUUUAACAAGUAUGCGUGUGUGUGUGUUAUCUAUAAUUUUUCUAUGGACAUUUCUAAAUUGAAAUGCUAUGAUGUGCGGGUGGCAGUGCAUUACUUAAGCAUUAAAAGAAGUUUUCGGUAUUGUUGUUAUUUAAAAAUGUGUCAUAGAAGCUUAUUACGGAGUUGUUAGAGGCAAGCGUUAAAUAACUGAGUAUAGUCACGGGCGAGUCUUAAAUUUUUAUUUACACACACGAUUUUGUUCUCAAGUGAUGCCUUUUAAUAUACACUAAAAUACAUCUGUAAUUUCCUGAAGAGCUGAGGAGCAAAAGUCUUACACUUUUCAUAUUCCACCUUGAGAAAAAAAUCGUCCCCAAUAUAAUAUUUGUGCGUGCAAAAUGGCCUCACCAAGUCAACAAAUAAAAGAAAGAGUCGAUAUACUUGAUAGCUGUUAUCGAUAUACACAAUGGAUGCGGUUAGAAUGAAAUGUUAAGGCUUAGUGCACAAUUCUAAGGCAAUAUAAUGUGAACUGCAAUAUUAUUAAAUAUUAAUAAAAAAUUAAAAUUUUAUUGUUGAAAAACUAAG